AAAUUGAAGAGUUUGAUCAUGGCUCAGAUUGAACGCUGGCGGCAGGCCUAACACAUGCAAGUCGAACGGUAGCACAGAGAGCUUGCUCUCGGGUGACGAGUGGCGGACGGGUGAGUAAUGUCUGGGAAACUGCCUGAUGGAGGGGGAUAACUACUGGAAACGGUGGCUAAUACCGCAUAACGUCGCAAGACCAAAGAGGGGGACCUUCGGGCCUCUUGCCAUCAGAUGUGCCCAGAUGGGAUUAGCUAGUUGGUGAGGUAACGGCUCACCAAGGCGACGAUCCCUAGCUGGUCUGAGAGGAUGACCAGCCACACUGGAACUGAGACACGGUCCAGACUCCUACGGGAGGCAGCAGUGGGGAAUAUUGCACAAUGGGCGCAAGCCUGAUGCAGCCAUGCCGCGUGUAUGAAGAAGGCCUUCGGGUUGUAAAGUACUUUCAGCGGGGAGGAAGGUGUUGUGGUUAAUAACCGCAGCAAUUGACGUUACCCGCAG
rnacentral:rRNA from 3 species